AGAGUUUGAUCCUGGCUCAGGACGAACGCUGGCGGCGUGCCUAAUACAUGCAAGUCGAGCGAAUCGAUGGGAGCUUGCUCCCUGAGAUUAGCGGCGGACGGGUGAGUAACACGUGGGCAACCUGCCUAUAAGACUGGGAUAACUUCGGGAAACCGGAGCUAAUACCGGAUACGUUCUUUUUUCGCAUGAGAGAAGAUGGAAAGACGGUUUACGCUGUCACUUAUAGAUGGGCCCGCGGCGCAUUAGCUAGUUGGUGAGGUAAUGGCUCACCAAGGCGACGAUGCGUAGCCGACCUGAGAGGGUGAUCGGCCACACUGGGACUGAGACACGGCCCAGACUCCUACGGGAGGCAGCAGUAGGGAAUCUUCCGCAAUGGACGAAAGUCUGACGGAGCAACGCCGCGUGAACGAAGAAGGCCUUCGGGUCGUAAAGUUCUGUUGUUAGGGAAGAACAAGUACCAGAGUAACUGCUGGUACCUUGACGGUACCUAACCAGAAAGCCACGGCUAACUACGUGCCAGCAGCCGCGGUAAUACGUAGGUGGCAAGCGUUGUCCGGAAUUAUUGGGCGUAAAGCGCGCGCAGGUGGUUCCUUAAGUCUGAUGUGAAAGCCCACGGCUC
rnacentral:rRNA from 1 species